rnacentral:rRNA from 1 species
CCGGCGACCGGCGCACGGGUGAGUAACGCGUAUGCAACUUACCUAUCAGAGGGGGAUAACCCGGCGAAAGUCGGACUAAUACCGCAUGAAGCAGGGGCCCCGCAUGGGGAUAUUUGCUAAAGAUUCAUCGCUGAUAGAUAGGCAUGCGUUCCAUUAGGCAGUUGGCGGGGUAACGGCCCACCAAACCGACGAUGGAUAGGGGUUCUGAGAGGAAGGUCCCCCACAUUGGUACUGAGACACGGACCAAACUCCUACGGAAGGCAGCAG